GAAACAUUGAGGAGACUGGAGGA
rnacentral:piRNA from 1 species